GUACAAACACUAGAGGACAUUUUGAAAGCUAAACACCUCAUUUUCCCUGGAGUAGGUGAUUUUGCUAUUGCCAUGGAUGUGCUCAACAAGAAGGGAAUGGCUGAAGCUGUUUGUACUUAUAUUGAGCAUGAUCGCCCAUUCCUGGGAAUUUGUCUUGGCAUGCAGCUUCUUUUUGAGUCAAGUGAGGAGAAUGGACCAGUAAAAGGUCUUGGAUUCAUUCCUGGAGUAGUUGGGUGUUUUGACUCAUCUAAAGGAAUUAGAGUACCUCAUAUUGAGUGGAAUUCACUUGAAAUAACAAAAUCUUCAGGGAUCUUGGAUGAAAUUGGGAAGCGUCAUGUCUAUUUUGUUCAUUCUUAUCGUGCAACACUGUCAGGUGAUAAUAAAGAGUGGGUAUCAUCAACCUGCAAUUAUGGCGAUAAUUUUAUAGCAUCUGUUAGAAGGGGAAGUUUCACCCUGAGAAGAGUGGAGGUAUGCUGUACGUGAACCUUGUAUGCCAAGAAAAGUGAGAAAUCCAGGUCCAAACGGCGAAGAGUAUGCUUGGUACCAGUGUACAGUGAAUGGUGGGCGAGAAGGUCGACCAAUUGGGGCAUAUGAGCUUGCCAAAGCUGUUGAAGAAUUAGGAGCUGGUGAAAUACUGCUUAAUUGCAUUGACUGUGAUGGCCAACGGAAAGGAUUUGAUAGACCUAAUCAAACAAAUUUCAGAUGCUGUAAGCAUCCCGGUAAUUGCGAGUAGUGGUGCAGGAGCAGGAGCUGUUGAACACUUCUCGGAGGUUUUCAAAGAAACAAAUGCCUCAGCUGCCCUAGCUGCUGGUAUUUUCCACAGAAAGGAGAUACCUAUUCAAUCUGUGAAGGAGCAUUUACUGAAGACUGGUGUAGAAGUUAGAAUGUGAUAUAACAAACGGUGAGAUUAACUUCAUUCACGAGUUCUGAUUUACAUUAUAAAAGUGCAUCUCCCUUUUUUCAUUUGUCAUGUACAGUAGUUAUGCAUGAUUGAAUAUAUAAAAGAACCAAUUUUAGCUUUGGAAAAAUCUGACUGAUUAGAUCAAUUUUUUUUAAAAAAAAUGUAGGUGAUAUUUUCGUAAUUAUCAUCAACUUUAUUAUGCAAACUUGAUCACUAGAAUUUACGAUUCUUAAACUUUUUUAGGUUUGCACAUUUAGUAUUAACAUUUUCCAUAUUUAGUAUUAAAAAAUUACACUUACAAAAAUACGAAAGUGUA